rnacentral:tRNA from 3 species
GGUAGCGUGUCCGAGUGGCCUAAGGAGCACGCCUCGAAAGCGUGUGAUGGUGCAAGCUAUCCGUGGGUUCAAAUCCCACCGCUACCGCCA